UGGGGGAUAUUGCACAAUGGGCGAAAGCCUGAUGCAGCGACGCCGCGUGGGGGAUGAAGGCCUUCGGGUUGUAAACUUCUUUUGCUCUGAACAAGGCAUGCCUUUGGGGUGUGUUGAGUGUAGGGGUUGAUUAGCGCCGGCUAACUACGUGCCAGCAGCCGCGGUAAUACGUAGGGCGCGAGCGUUGUCCGGAAUUAUUGGGCGUAAAGGGCUUGUAGGUGGCUGGUUGCGUCUGUCGUGAAAGCUCAUGGCUUAACUGUGGGUUUGCGGUGGGUACGGGCUGGCUUGAGUGCAGUAGGGGAGGCUGGAAUUCCUGGUGUAGAGGUGGAAUGCGCAGGUAUCAGGAGGAAUACCGGUGGCGAAGGCGGGUCUCUGGGCUGUUACUGACGCUGAGGAGCGAAAGCGUGGGGAGCGAAUAGG
rnacentral:rRNA from 1 species